rnacentral:rRNA from 1 species
UAGGGAAUAUUGGACAAUGGGCGAAAGCCUGAUCCAGCAAUGCCGCGUGCAGGAAGAAGGCCUUCGGGUUGUAAACUGCUUUUGUACGGAACGAAAAGGCUCUUUCUAAUAAAGGGGGCUCAUGACGGUACCGUAAGAAUAAGCACCGGCUAACUACGUGCCAGCAGCCGCGGUAAUACGUAGGGUGCGAGCGUUAAUCGGAAUUACUGGGCGUAAAGCGUGCGCAGGCGGUUCUAUAAGACAGAUGUGAAAUCCCCGGGCUCAACCUGGGAAUGGCAUUUGUGACUGUAGAGCUAGAGUACGGUAGAGGGGGAUGGAAUUCCGCGUGUAGCAGUGAAAUGCGUAGAUAUGCGGAGGAACACCGAUGGCGAAGGCAAUCCCCUGGACCUGUACUGACGCUCAUGCACGAAAGCGUGGGGAGCAAACAGGAUUAGAUACCCACGUAGUCCCUGAGCGGGCUGGCAAGGCGCAU